rnacentral:lncRNA from 1 species
AUUGGCUGACAUGUGGCAGUUUCUCAUUGGCUGGGCUGUUGCCGGGUGGGAGAGAAAUCUUCCUUCCUAGUAAAGCAGUUGUAUUUCCCGUCCACGUGCAAGUGUCCACGUCUUCUUGUUCAGCAUAACUGACUUGUGUGAUGGGGUGUGAGAGCACUUCUACAGGCCUUCUUGAUCCAGGAAGAUUAGCCCUGAGCUAACAUCUGUGCCCAUCUUCCUCUGCUUUAUAUGUGGGACGCCUACCACAGCAUGGCUUGCCACGUGGUGCCACGUCUGCACCUGGGAUGUGAACUGGCGAACCCCAGGCCACUGCAGCAGAACAUGUGCACUUAACCACUGCGCAACCGGGCCAGCCCCACCAAACGUUUUUUGAUGAAAAUCAUGUAAAAUAGAACUUAUCAGAAUUGUUUGUAGGGCACAGACCUUUGUAGGGCAGUACUACAAACAGUGAGUGUAUAAGUAGACAGUGCUGCACAUUCACACAGCCCUGCUGUCAGUGAUAAACACACUCGACCACACUUGAGGACAGACUGAAUUAUUAUUCCAUUAUAUGUAGAGAAAAUGAUACUGGAACAUCAUCGUCACCUGAAAGGCUCUCAAAGGGUAUACUACCAAAAAUAUGAGAAAAAAGUAUUGUAGAGGUAUUCCAGGCAGUUAAUGGAAAAAUAUAUGGUUAUUCCAGACCUUGUGAUCUUUGUAAUAUUAGUCAACCUUUUAAAAUUGGCAAUUUGCAUGGUUUAUUUUUUCAUUCACUUUUGUAUCUGAUUUUUAUUCUUAAUUUUAAAUCAUUUUUCUUUAAAGAGGACCCCCAAAGUUGUAAAAAUCUUCAGAUACCUCAGAACCUGGAUUUGUCCCUGAGCGCCAACUCUGUGUCAGAUGCGUGCUCUUUCUUAGAGAUACAAU